rnacentral:lncRNA from 1 species
AUUAUAUACGAGUCCUCUUAUACAUAUCCAGCAGUCUUCCUUCUUGUUGUGCUUAGCAAGCUCGUCUUCGGUCACUUCAAUCAGUCUCCCUUUCAAACCAGUCAGGUCCUUUCCACUUUUAGUUAAUCGAAUCCAAUCCAUGAGACUCCUUCCUGGUUUUAAAGGAACCUUGGUGCGGCCGCCCGCGGCCACCCGUUGCUGGGAGCCGGGCGCGGGGAAGGCCUGCGGCGGCACGUUCAACAUCCUACCGGCCCGGCCUGCACCCGGCGGGCGGGCGGAGCGCUCCGGCACAGCG